UUCAUUAAUAAACAUUUAAAAUUGAAGAAUAUUUUAAUAUAUUUUUUAGAAUUAAAUAAGUUUAUUUAUAUUGUAAAGACCGAAUAAAAACCCCUAUAUAAAUAAAGGGUGCGUAGAGGAGCGGAAGUCUGCAAGAAGCUUCCAUGUUGAUCGAUUCCGUUGAAGGCUGAAAAGAGAGAGCGACUUCUGACUAUAUUUCUUCGAUUCUUCCCAUAGCGAAUCGGAGAGAACGAUGGGGGACAAGAUAAAGAAGGAGGAGAAUAGGCGUCCUCUGAUUCUAAAUCUGAUUGUGAUAAUAGGGUAUGGGUUUCUUGCAUAUGUGAUGUGGCCUGACAUUAAAGAGCAGAUAAAUAACAUGAGAAAUUCUAGGGUUGAGGGGUAUGCUGUUGCUAUUUCUACUUUGUUUGCAGUUGUUGUGCUCGUUGUAAUGCUUUGCUCAAUUGAUGUACUCAAACGAAUCAUGAAAUGAAAGGAAUAGGGUUUCUGCA